UAAAAGGCAAUGAAGGAAAGAGUAAAAAGCUUGAACUUUUACAGAGAGUCGGGCGAGGUGCGAACCGAUAAAGUUUGGGCUUUUGAAGAUGGCUCCGGAGCCGUACUGCCGAAGGCUAGUAGGUUUUACCGGGAACUCCCGUUAUAGAGUAAGAGUGUGUUAGCACUCUGUGAGGCAUGCGUCGUGAGGUGUAUGCGAAGAAGGGUGGUACCGCGACAAUCUCGCCCCUUAU
rnacentral:ncRNA from 1 species